rnacentral:lncRNA from 13 species
UUUGACGACUCUGAAGGGAAGCAGCCAGCAGAUGAAAACGAAUAAAACUUUCCAAGUUGCACAUCCAUGGAAGAAAGUCCAACAAUCAAGCUUGAGAAACCUAUUCACCUCCCCUUCACUAAGAUUGUCCAGGGGCAGAGAAAAUCUGGAAGGAAUACAAUGCCUUUAAAUCUUCAUUGCUUAGAGGCUUACCGAAGGAAUGGGGUAUCCAGUGAUUUAACAGGAAUGGUGCCAGGAUGCAGGGCAUAAGUCAGAGGACAGUCCCCUUGGUUAUGAGGUUAUUACUACAGGGAGCAAAACAAGUUUUGAAAGAAUAUGAAAUGUAAAUAUUGAUUCUAAUACACUUCAUGUCACUUGUUUUGAAGAAGAUCAUCAGAAGAACUUCAAACUAUAAGAUAUUCCCUAUUAAAUCAUGUUAUAUUCAUCAUUUAGCAGAAUUAUUGGCUUGUAGCAAAUAGUUGAUACUUUGAGUUGAGAAGAUUUUUAGUAGAUUUAUGAAGGAAAUAAAAGGACAUGCAAAAACA